GAAAGCGUGGGGAGCGAAGGGGAUUAGAUACCCCCGUAGUCCACGCCGUAAACGAUGUGUGCUCGAUGUCGGAUAAUUAAUCUAAUUCGGUGUCCAAGCUAACGCGGUAAGCACACCGCCUGAGUAGUACGAUCGCAAGAUUAAAACUUAAAGGAAUAGACGGGGACCCACACAAGCGGUGGAGCAUGGGGUUUAAUUCGAUGAUAAGCGGAGCACCUCACCUAGGUUUGACAUCCUCCAAAUUGACUAGAAAUAGUUAAGUGCCGCAAGGAAUGGAGUGACAGGUGAUGCACGGUCGUCGUCAGCUCGUGUCUUGAGAUGUACUGUUAAGUCAGCAAACGAGCGCAACCCUCAUCCUAUGUUGUUUUUUCAUAGGAGACUGCCGCCUCCAAGGCGGAGGAAGGUGAGGAUGACGUCAGAUCUGCGUGUCCCUUAUACCUAGGGCAACACCCGUGCUACAAUGGCUGGUACAAAGAGCAGCGACCCCGCGAGGGCAAGCAAAUCUCAAAAAACCAGUCUCAGUUCGGAUUGAAGUCUGCAACUCGACUUCAUGAAGUUGGAAUCGCUAGUAACCGUAAAUCAGCUAUGUUACGGUGAAUAUGUUCCUGGGUCUUGUACUCACCGCCCGUCAAGUCAUGAAAGGCAGGGGCACCCGAAGCACCGUUACUCUUUUGAGGCGGUACCACGGUGAAACUGCUGAUUGGGACUAAGUCGUAACAAGGUAUCCGUAGGAGAACCUGCGGAUG
rnacentral:rRNA from 1 species